UACGUAGGGACCGAGCGUUGUCCGGAUUCAUUGGGCGUAAAGAGCUCGUAGGCGGCUGUUCAAGUCGAACGUGAAAACUCGGAGCUCAACUCCGAGCCUGCGUUCGAUACUGGAUGGCUAGAGUCUGGUAGGGGGAUCUGGAAUUCCAGGUGUAGCGGUGAAAUGCGUAGAUAUCUGGAGGAACACCGGUGGCGAAGGCGGCAUCCUGGACCAACACUGACACUGAGGAGCGAAAGCCAGGGGAGCAAACGGG
rnacentral:rRNA from 1 species